rnacentral:rRNA from 1 species
UACGUAGGUGGCAAGCGUUGUCCGGAUUUACUGGGCGUAAAGAGCGCGCAGGCGGUCGGAUAAGUCGAAUGUGAAAGCCCCGGCUCAACUGGGGAGGGUCAUUCGAUACUGUUCGACUCGAAGGCAGGAGAGGGAAGUGGAAUUCCCGGUGUAGUGGUGAAAUGCGUAGAUAUCGGGAGGAACACCAGUGGCGAAGGCGACUUCCUGGCCUGUUCUUGACGCUGAGGCGCGAAAGCUAGGGGAGCAAACGGG